AGAUACACUGCUAUGUAGAACGGCCGAUGGAGGGGAAUGACAUUAUAAAUACCCCUCCAUCAUUCGGUAUUGGCCAUCAUGUGUGUGUGUGGAAGAUAGGGAUCUGCAGGCCUGCUGCCGCCAUCCUUCCCUGUACUUUAUCACCUGAGGAAAAGGUACAUUCGGUCCAAGAUCACACGAGCCAUUUCUCCGAUCAAAGCUACGGAGGGGUUGCUGUAUUCGUGGGCAGCCCUGCAUCAUAUGGGAGAUGAACUUAUUGUGCUCGGGAAGAUUGCGGAGAUGCUGUUGGUCGAGAUGUGGGAAGAUUGCUGCAUGCGGCAACCUUCAAUUUCCGUUGCUUUGGGGAGGAUAAUAGGUAUUCAGGCCUAAACCUAUCGACACCUAUUAUCCUCGGUGCUUUGGAGAGGAUAACAGCCAUGUUCCCAGUCAAAAUUUUAUCAAAAAAAAAGCUCGAAGAGAUAACAGAUGGAUUAUGAAUGUACAAGCCAUUAUAUGAGUUAGAGAGCUGUGAAGAUGAGCUGUUGAAGAGACAUGUUGAGAUUGUUGUUGAGUACUUAAAUGGAACAGCAGAAAUAUUAAAAACUUGUGGCCUUUCAAUGC